rnacentral:rRNA from 1 species
GAUGAACGCUGGCGGCGGGCUUAACACAUGCAAGUCGAACGAUGAAGCCCAGCUUGCUGGGUGGAUUAGUGGCGAACGGGUGAGUAACACGUGAGUAACCUGCCCUUGACUUUGUGGUAAGCCUGGGCAACUGGGUCUAAUACUGGAUAUGACUUCUCAUCUCCUGGUGGGGGGUGGAAAGAUUUAUUGGUCUUGGAUGGACUCGCGGCCUAUCAGCUUGUUGGUGAGGGAAUGGCUGACCCAGGCGACGACGGGUAGCCGGCCUGAGAGGGUGAGCGGCCACAAUAGGACUGAGACACGGACCAGACUGCUACGGGGGGCAGCGGUGGGAAACAUUGCACAAUGGGCGCGCGUCUGAUGAAGCGGCGCCGCGUGUGUGAUGCCGGCCUUUGGGGUGUGAACAUCUUUCGGUAGGGACGCAGCGGGUGUGGCGGUACCUGCAGAAGAAGCGCCGGCUAACUACGUG